AAAACAUGAUUGGGGUGGGGGGUGGGGAGAGAACUGUGGUUGGCUUGUAAAACGAAAAAGAAAAAAAUCAUUCUGCUCAAGGCAUCUAGAAGAGUUUGUUUGGGCUAUGGUUCCACCGUGGCAGGGACACAGGGCAGCAAGCAGCAGGCACAGGGGCAGGAGCAGGAAGCUGAAGGCUCGCAGUUUGAGCCACAGCAUGAAGCAAGAGAGUGAACUAGAACCUGCAAACUCUCGAAGCCCACCUCCAGUGACACGCUUCCUCCAACAAGGCCACGCCUCCUACGCCUCCCCCAAACAGUCCCACUAACUGGGGGCUGAACGUCCAAACGCCUGAGACUGUGGAAGACCUUCUCACUGAACCCACCACAGUCAUUCCCAUGAUAGAAGGUUUGCAGAUGGACAGGCACGGGCAGACCCCCAAGUCUUCACAUCCUCAGCGGUGGGUAAAAACAGCUGUAAGUUAAAGACUCUGGAGGUGAUUUCUCAGAAAGUUCCAAAAAAGCAGAACUUGGUUUUGAGACGGGUUUAGCCCUGUGCUCACUCUGUGGGCGUGGCGUCAGGUAGGACAGCCCUGUGCUCACUCUGUGGGCGUGGCGUCAGGUAGGACUGCCCUGUGCUCACUCUGUGGGCGUGGCGUCAGGUAGGACUGCCCCGCUGUCGGCCUCUCUGACGCUCCUGUGAGCAUCAUUCCUCCUUCUCACUUGUGUCUAGGGUAGUCGAACCUCCGAUACCUGUGCCAACAUGUUGCACAUCAUUUAUUUUCCUUGCCAUACUAUCCCAUAACAUGCAGGAAAAAAAAAAGCCAUCUCGGGACACUUGCAUCAUGUUAGGUAUUGGAAGCAGAAAUAGGAAAGUAGAACUCAGAUCACAGCCAGGUCCACUGAUCAGCCGCCACUAAAACUUAACUGAAGGUUCAGUGGUUAAGAGCACUAGCUGCCCUUCCAGAGGACCCGAGAUCAAGUCCCAGAACUAACAUGACAGUUCACAGCCAGCUGCAACUCCAGUUCCUGAGCAGCCAAAGUCCCUUUCUCGCCUCUGAGGUACCAGGCACACACAUGGUACACACACACUCAUGCAGACGAAGCACCCAUAUACAAGAAAUAAAUAUCGAAAAUAUUUUACUGGGGAUGAAGAGAUGCACAAGACGCUCACUGAAACUCCCUUGAGAUAACAUAACCUCUAGAACUGUCCCAAAACCUAUGAAUUGUAGUCUCAUCUAUGCACUAAAAUAACUAUGAGAAAGGGCUGUUUUAGACAAAUUUUAAUAGAAUCCUUUUCUAGAACUUUGGAAAAUGCCACCUUCUGAGUAACAGAGUUUUCAGAAACCUGGAGUUCUCUCUCUUUAAAUAUGAGAAUGUAGGAGUUUGUAUGUGUGUGGUACUCAGGGUAGAACCCAGGACCUUGUGCACAGUAGCUAUCCUGGUUAGGUGUUUUUUUGUUUUGUUUUGUUUUUUGUUUUUGUUUUGUUUUGUUUUUUGGUCAACUUGACACAAGCUAGAGAUGCCUGAGAAAAAGGAAUCACAACCGAGAAAAUGUUUCCAUAAGAGUGGCUUGUAGGCAAGCCUACGGAGCAUUUUCCUAAGUAGUGAUGGCGUGGGAGGGCCCACACAUGGUGAGUGGUGCCUCCCCUGGACAGGUGAUCCUGGGUUGUAUAAGAAGACAGGCUGAGCAAGCCAGGAGGAGCAAGCUGCUAAGCGGCACUUCUGCAUUGGUCCCUCCCGUCGCUGCCUUUGAGGAUGGACUGCACUUAGGAAGUGUACGAUGAAAUCAACCCCUUACUCCCUACAUUGUUUUUGGUUAUUGUUUUAUCACAGCAAUAGAAACUCUAAGACAAUAGACUCUACCACUGUACAAUACCCACAGUUCCAAAUGUGGACUCUUUAUAAAGGACUUAUGGGGGCUGGAGAGAGAGCUCAGCAGAUAAGAGCACUGGAUGCUCACCCAGAGGACCUGGGUUUGAUAUUCAUCAUCCACACAGCAGCUCACAACCACCUCUAACUCCAGUUACAGGGAUCCAGCACCCUCUUCUGGCCUCUGUCGGGCACCAGGAACAUGGGUGAUGAGGAGACAUGCAUGUAAGCCAACACUUACACACACACACACACACACACACACACACACACACACACACACACACGGCUUUAAGUAUAAUUCUGCCUUCCACAUGGUGCACUGAAAUUUAUUUCCUAGUACUCCAUGCCGUCCCUCUGCAGUGUGUGUACUUUAUUAUAUACACUGCAAGGAGUGUGGUAGUUUAGCAUUACUGUAAAUGACUCCAGCAGGAACAUUUUUAAUUGCUGUCUCUAAUUUCUCUGUAACUUUCUUUGCAAUAUGGGAUUAUCCUCCUCUACCAGGAAUAUGUGCCUUUUGUCAUGCUGUGGAGAUUGGAACAUUAAAAAAAUGAAUUUAUCUGAAUACUAAAAGUCAAAAGUGAAGGGCCUGGCCUUAGAGGUACACGGGUGCUGUGUAGAAGCAAAAGGUGUGGGUUUGUGCAUAAGUGUUAUGGCAUCACCGUGUCUUCUUGUGGUGUUCUGACCCCUCCCCUGUCCUCUGUGCCCGAGGUGUGCUGUCACUGCUCUCCUGCCCAGGCACCUGGCGCUGUAGCAGGGAGACUUCGUUCCGUCAUACACCACGUGACAAAAUUGCUCAGUUUUGGUUUUAAAUCAGCUCAGGCUUGAUAGCCUUUGAGUUCUUCGGUAUACUCUGCAUGCCCGAGACUUCUGGUCUGCCUUUCAGACUUGUUCAGCUACCACUGUUUUAGAAGACAUCUGUACCCAGAAAUUCCCUGUUGCUCUUUAUUUUAUACCAGAAAAUCUGUAAAUGGUAUCAUCUUGCUUCCUCUGUCUUGGUUCUCUGUUGGUCAGCCUGAGUAUCCCCAUCCUCACACUCUCAGAGUAUCCCCAUCCUCACACUCUCAGCCUGAGUAUCCUCAUCCUCACACUCUCAGCCUGAGUAUCCCAUCCUCACACUCUCAGUCAGAGUAUCCCCAUCCUCACACUCUCAGUCAGAGUAUUCCCAU